rnacentral:rRNA from 1 species
UCAAGUUAUUAAGGGUGCAGGGCGGAUGCCUUGGCACUAGGAGCCGAUGAAGGACGUGAUAAGCUGCGAUAAGCUUCGGGGAGUUGCACGUAAACUUUGAUCCGAAGAUUUCCGAAUGAGGAAACUCACUUAGAGUAAUGUCUAAGUAUCAUUAAGUGAAUACAUAGCUUAAUGAGGGGAACUCAGGGAACUGAAACAUCUAAGUACCUGAAGGAAGAGAAAGAAAUUCGAUUCCGUAAGUAGCGGCGAGCGAACGCGGAUUAGCCCAAACCAAUAAAGUUUUCUUUAUUGGGGUUGCGGACAUAUCAUAACGAAGAGGUAUCGUAAUUGAAGAGGUUUGGAAAGACCCACCACAGAAGGUAAUAGUCCUGUAUGUUAAACGAGAAGACUUCAGAUAUGAUCCAGAGUACCACGGGACACGUGAAACCCUGUGGGAAGCAGGAGGGACCACCCUCCAAGGCUAAAUACUACCUAGUGACCGAUAGCGUAUAGUACCGUGAGGGAAAGGUGAAAAGAACCCCGGGAGGGGAGUGAAAUAGAACCUGAAACCCUGCACUUACAAGCUGUGGAAGCACAUUUCUUGUGUGACCGCGUACUUUUUGUAGAACGGGCCAACGAGUUACGUUAAGUAGCAAGGUUAAGCACUUAAGGUGCGGAGCCGUAGCGAAAGCGAGUUUUAACUGAGCGUUCAGUUACUUGACGUAGACCCGAAACCGGGCGACCUACCCAUGAGCAGGAUGAAGCGAAAGUAAAAUUUCGUGGAGGUCCGAACCCACGAGCGUUGAAAAGCUCGGGGAUGACUUGUGGGUAGCGGUGAAAUUCCAAUCGAGCCCGGAGAUAGCUGGUUCUCCCCGAAAUAGCUUUAGGGCUAGCCUCAAGGUGAGAGAUACGGAGGUAGAGCACUGAAUGUCCUAGGGGGUAUUGCACCUACCGAAGACUAUCAAACUCCGAAUGCCGUCAUCUUAUACUUGGGAGUCAGACUGUGGGUGAUAAGAUUCAUAGUCGAAAGGGCAACAGCCCAGAUCGUCAGCUAAGGUCCCUAAAUGUAAGUUAAGUGGUAAAGGAUGUGGGAUUGCACAGACAACCAGGAUGUUGGCUUAGAAGCAGCCACUCAUUCAAAGAGUGCGUAAUAGCUCACUGGUCGAGUGAUCCUGCGCCGAAGAUUUCCGGGGCUAAAACUUACUACCGAAGCUACGGCAUCAGUAAUGAUGGGUAGGGGAGCUUCCCAUACGGGUUGAAGCAUGACCGUAAGGACAUGUGGACAGUAUGGGAGUGAGAAUGUUGGCAUGAGUAGCGAGAUGUGGGUGAGAAUCCCACAGGCCGUAAACCCAAGGUUUCCAGGGGAAGGUUCGUCCGCCCUGGGUUAGUCGGGACCUAAGCUGAGGCCGAAAGGCGUAGGUGAUGGACAACAGGUUGAUAUUCCUGUACUACCGAUAACCGUUUGAGAGAAGGGAUGACACAGUAGGAUAAGCUAAGCACACUGUUGGUUAUGUGUGCCCAAGCAUUGAGGCAGUCAAAGCAGGCAAAUCCGCUUUGAUAAUGCUGGGAUGUGAUGGGGAGCGAAAUUUAGUAGCGAAGUAGCUGAUUUCACACUGUCAAGAAAAGUCUCUAUCGAGGUUAAAGGUACCCGUACCGCAAACCGACACAGGUGGGUGAGGAGAGUAUCCUAAGGCCAGCGAGAGAACUGUUGUUAAGGAACUCGGCAAAAUGACCCCGUAACUUAGGGAUAAGGGGUGCCACCAUCCGGUGGCCGCAGAGAAUAGGCCCAAGCGACUGUUUACCAAAAACAUAGGUUUCUGCUAAGUCGCAAGACGAUGUAUAGGAGCUGACGCCUGCCCGGUGCUGGAAGGUUAAGGGGAUCUGUUAGAGCAAUCGAAGCAGUGAACUUAAGCCCCAGUAAACGGCGGCCGUAACUAUAACGGUCCUAAGGUAGCGAAAUUCCUUGUCGGGUAAGUUCCGACCCGCACGAAAGGCGUAACGAUUUGGGCACUGUCUCAACAACAGACUCGGUGAAAUUGUAAUUCCGGUGAAGAUGCCGGAUACCUGCGACAGGACGGAAAGACCCCAUGGAGCUUUACUGUAGCUUGACAUUGGGUCUUGGUACUACAUGUACAGGAUAGGUGGGAGGCUUUGAAACCAGGACGCCAGUUUUGGCGGAGCCAUC